GGGGGUAUACCUCAGUGGUAGAGUAUAUGCUUGGUACGCACAAGGACCUGGGUUCAAUCCCCAGCACCUACUCCCA